GAUGAAGAACGCAGCGAACGUGCGAAGCGUAAUGUGAAUUGCAGAAUUCAGUGAAUCAUCGAAUCUUUGAACGCAUCUUGCGCUCCUUGGUAUUCCGAGGAGCAUGCCUGUUUGAGUGUCGUGAAUACUCUCAACUUCAACCCUUUUUUCGGAAAGGGAGGAAGGUUGGACUUGGGUGUUUGUUGAAGUGCGAGCUUCGACUCAUCCUAAAUGCAUUAGCGAUCUGCCUCGAUCACACACAAUGUGAUAAUUAAAACUAAAGCAUUGUUUAAUGAUCAAGUCGAGACUGCUUCUAACUGUCGCAAGACAAUAACGUGCAUACAUUUGUGCAUGUCAUUUGACCUCAAAUCAGGUAGGACUACCCGCUGAACUUAAGCAUAUCAAUAAGCGGAGGA
rnacentral:misc_RNA from 1 species